GGAGCAUUCAUAUUGUUUGACAGUUGUUACAAAAAAAGAAAUAAAAGAGUAAAUCAAAAAUUAAAUUGAGACGCGAGUUGUUCACCUUCAGCUGGGAGACGCGUAAAUCGAGUGCGACGCUUUGUUUGUCCAUGCUAAUGAAUGAAGGACUAAAAGGACACGGCAUAAAGGGUUUCGCGCGUGUUUGUGGUACAGAAAUAAAUGCGCGUUUUAGUAAAAAUGUGUGCACAAACCAGCUUAACCGAGCAGAGAGAGGCUGCCGGGCGGAUUGCUCUGCAUUUGAUCCCGAUAACCUAUGAUUAUUUGGACUAGGACCUGGCGCCACUUGACAGCUGCGCCGAUACUGAUUUAUGUAGCGCCCGAGGCCUAGCCAAACCGAACAGCAGUUGGCUGACAUACCCAGGAAUUAAUGGGUAGCACAAUUGAGUUGUCAGGACGAGAACGAGAGCGAGAACAAGAACAAGUGCGACGGCGUCUUGUGGCGAGUUGUGGAUUAGGGAUCAGUUCGUCGAGCUGCCGUCUAUUAGAAGCUGCACACUCAAAACCCAAUUUUGCGAGAAUCCUGUCUGCUGUUUGUCAGCCUAUUACUUAAUCAAGACUCUCGUUUUUAACCAGAAGUCUAAAGGAUAUAAGAGAUUGUAUGUAGAAAGGACGUUGCAUGUUUUGACACAAGGCGGCGACAACAACAACAGCAACGACAACAACAACAACAACAAAUGUAAACAGACACUGCCCAACUGUUGCUGUUGCGCCUGCUGCUGUUGUUGUUGUUGCUGUUAUGUAAUUGGAACUGCAGUUAUUCAACUCUAGUGUUUUGUAUCCUGGGUGCCGUUUUUAACACGCCUUCCUCAAGUGCCCAAAUGGCUGCUCUAUCGCUACCUGAUCGCUGCCUGCACUAUUUAUAAUGAGGUAGUUACUCGACUGCGAUUUCGCCUGAUUAGGCAGAAACAACAGCCUCGAAGAAGUUGAGCCACAGCGGCAGCUGCUACAGGAAACCAUCUUGGGGAGGGGUGUCCAUUCUAAUGUCACUGUGCCGUGCCACAGUCUGCUAAUCAGCUGCGUGGCCAGCUCCAUGUCACAGCUUGAUGCGCCCUCUGCCUGGCUAAAGGGUCAGCCCAUGCGCCCAAAAUUGAGCUGACCGAAUGCUUGACCACUGGGUGCCCGCCUGAUUGGCCCGCGUGUUGUUCUGCCGCGCGGAGGUGACCAAAGGCGCAGGCGCAACGGAUUAGCACUGGGUCUUGACCAGCCGAAUGAAACCACGGUGCGGUGCACGGUGCUCGGCGAGCCGAGCUGGGCUGGACAGGGCCGGGCCGGGGCGGGGCGGGCCAGUUGCCUUUGCUUUUGUCCGCUCACGACCGCUUGGCACGAAAAUGAAGCUGUUUUAGGCGCUGCGAGAACAAUGCUCCCAGUUACGAUCCACGCACCGGGAGAACUUGCUUCACUUUUAUUGUUGUGCCCCGUAAUUGCUGCCCUGAGACCAGGCAUUAGUGCCCCGGCACGCAGCCAUUCUUUACAUCCCACCCUCCUGCAUCCGUUGCUGCGCGGGCAACCGCAUUCAGUCGCAUUCUGAACAAAGUUUUUUUUUUGCUGCUCUCAAACUUUAUUGAGGCGCUCGCAUGCAAAUAAGAGAGAAAACUGAAAAAAAAAACAAUAAACACCAAAGCCAACACAGAUAUGCACGCGGUUCUGGUCUUUGGACGUCUGCCACGAUGCGGGAUUAAGUGACACAAAGUGGAAGCACUUUGCCGGAAACAGAUUGAACAAAUGAGACACUCGAAGCGCAGACACCUCGUCGAGGAGUGGCCCCGAGCUCGCCUGCCAGAAAUGCUCAUUUGGCCAGCAGCCGAAGGAAAAAAAGUGUCAGACAGCUCGUGACAAGGCCCUGAAGCAAGGAUCAGCUGCGCAAGGAAUGAGGUCCACUCUUAGUCCAGAAUUUGUCACGGCUGCAGAGUGCGAACAAAGCGACAGUUUUCUUUUUGUUUUUGAUCACAUUAUUACUGAGAUGCAGUCCCGACCUGCUUUACUCUGCUUUUCUUUUAGUCGCCCGGCCAUGAAAAUUGCAAUUUUUCCCCAGAUAAUUUCAAUUUGUGAGCGCACAACGGGGCAAUGUUUCAAUGUUGCAACCUCGUAACGUCGUUUGCCGCUUCACCACACAGCCAAUUAGCCAGGGCGAGAGGCUGGGACAGGCGGCAAUUGAUUCGUUGCGCCAUCAUCGCUAUCAAUAGGAGGAACAGAAGCAGGAGCCGAUGUUCCAUCAAUGUGUGGUGGAUCGACCGCAAUCAUUUGGCCACAGCGGGUACUCGUGGCUCCGUCUCUGGUCGGAGUGGAACGGAAAGGAACGGAACGGAACGGAUUGAGCAAGUUUUGGCAACGUUCUUGGGAAAAAGGCUGUUUCGAUCGGGCAGCUCCAUGUGAUGAGCGUUGCUAACGCGCCCAUUUAUGGACACACUGGACCCCUGGGCAUAUUUGUCAUGCCACAUUUUGUAGCGUGCCGCAACCUUAUGCGGCGUUUUGCACACAUAUUUCUAUAUGCGAUCUGCGAGACUCUGAUGAUCAUUAUGAUGUGGAUGAUGUAUUCAUUUAGACCCGGACACCCUGCCGCUGUCACAUGCCCAUCGGCAUCACCGUCAUUAUUAUCAUUAACUGAAGUGCUAAGUGGCCGCGUGUGACCAAUUUGUUGGGCACAGCUGCCAAUAACGGGCCCGACGCGGGCCCACUGGCCAUUGUUGUCCGCACGUUAAAUGUGCCAAUGAGCCAUGGGUGGUGCCUUCGACGAAGUUCUGCAAUCUGAAGCCAAACAAAUUACGACCAGGUGACUUGCUUUGAAACUAUGGCAAAGCAUUAAAUUGUAUUAUCGAUAUUGCGAGUACUCAUCAAGCUUAGAUGCAAAUCAGUUAUUGCCCAAUAAUCAUUUUUUAUCAAUUCCAAAA